AUGUUAUCAAGAAAGGUGGAGGGAAUAGACCCUUUGAAACCUUAGCAACCCUUUGUGCAAACAGAGAAGGUGCUACAUUCUACUGCAUGUUGCAGAGAGAUAACGA
rnacentral:ncRNA from 1 species